rnacentral:rRNA from 1 species
CAGAUGCUAAUACCGGAUAAAAAGACUACUUUCGUCAUGAAAAGAAGUUUAAAAAAAGGACGGCGUAAAAGCUGUCGCUAAAGGAUGGACCUGCGAUGCAUUAGCUAGUUGGUAAGGUAAACGGCUUACCAAGGCGAUGAUGCAUAGCCGAGUUGAGAGACUGAUCGGCCACAUUGGGACUGAGACACGGCCCAAACUCCUACGGGAGGCAGCAGUAGGGAAUCUUCCACAAUGGACGCAAGUCUGAUGGAGCAACGCCGCGUGAGUGAAGAAGGUUUUCGGAUCGUAAAGCUCUGUUGUUGGUGAAGAAGGAUAGAGGUAGUAACUGGCCUUUAUUUGACGGUAAUCAACCAGAAAGUCACGGGCUAACUACGUGCCAGCAGCCGCGGUAAAU